rnacentral:lncRNA from 1 species
UAAUAUAUGUAUAUGAGAUGUUGGAGGCAAUUAAAAAUUAUUCACUGCAUUUAUGAUUAGAGACUUAUCACCAUAUUUGUCUUUCAGCAUAUUCCUUUGGACCUUGAUGUUUCGUUUAUGAUUAGAGACUUAUCACCAUAUUCAUCCUUCAGCAUAUUCCUUUGGACCUUGAUGUUUCGUUUAAAUCAAAUUUGCAGGUUACCAAGACAAUUAGUACGUACUAGGGAUGAGAAUGAGUAACCAUUUAUUUAUGAUGUACUAGGAAAUCAAUGCAAUUGCUCAUUUGCUCUUGCUUAUAUGUGAUGUUGAUCAUUUCUAUUAAAAAAAAAAAGUGAUGUUGAAAGUAAUUACAUGUAAAAGUAACUUAUAACAACUAUCUCUCUCAUACUUGG